UAUGAAAUGACAACAAUGUUCUGCAUAAUCAAUCACAGAUAAAAUAUGAACGUUUUCUGUAAAUUAUUCCCGUGGAAGUUAAGUAGGGAAAGAAUGAGGUUAAGCCUUAUCAACGAACAAGAAACAAAGUAUAUUCUUGAAUGCUAUAGCUUAUUAGUUUGUGGGUAAUGUUUUAAUCUUUCACAGCGAUUUUGCAUCCUUUUAUAUUAUAUACAAAUUUUGUUAAUGUUGAAUAACAGUUUUUUUGGUAAACAUUGAAAAAAAUCACAAAAAAUAAUCAGCUUGCUACAUCAAAAAUAAUUGAGAACCAAACAAACAAAAGGAAAACCAUCAAACCGAUGUCAAAGCUAUAUGACCUUUCACCAUUAGUCUGAACCUACACAAGUAAAUCCUCUUCUCUCUUUCCUUAAUAGAUAGGUUUAUAAGGAAAAUAGGGAAUCCAAGAAAAAAGUCAACAUAUUCUACG
rnacentral:lncRNA from 1 species